AUACGGAGGGUGCAAGCGUUAUCCGGAAUCAUUGGGUUUAAAGGGUCCGUAGGCGGAUUAUUAAGUCAGAGGUGAAAUCCCACAGCUUAACUGUGGAACUGCCUUUGAUACUGGUAGUCUUGAGUUAUAUGGAAGUAGAUAGAAUGUGUAGUGUAGCGGUGAAAUGCAUAGAUAUUACACAGAAUACCGAUUGCGAAGGCAGUCUACUACGUAUAUACUGACGCUAAUGGACGAAAGCGUGGGGAGCGAGCAGGAUUAGAAACCCUAGUAGUCC
rnacentral:rRNA from 1 species